CAAAAGGCCCCCAAAUCUGUGUGUAAAUAGCUCGUUUCCAUUGGCCUGGGCGAGUGGUUUGUGAAUC
rnacentral:ncRNA from 1 species